GACGAACGCUGGCGGCGUGCCUAAUACAUGCAAGUCGAGCGCAGGAAACCGUCUGAACCCUCCGGGGGGACGACGGCGGAAUGAGCGGCGGACGGGUGAGUAACACGUAAAGAACCUGCCCAUAGGUCUGGGAUAACCACGAGAAAUCGGGGCUAAUACCGGAUGUGUCAUCGGACCGCAUGGUCCGCUGAUGAAAGGCGCUCCGGCGUCGCCCAUGGAUGGCUUUGCGGUGCAUUAGCUAGUUGGUGGGGUAACGGCCCACCAAGGCGACGAUGCAUAGCCGACCUGAGCGGGUGAUCGGCCACACUGGGACUGAGACACGGCCCAGACUCCUACGGGAGGCAGCAGUAGGGAAUCUUCCACAAUGGACGAAAGUCUGAUGGAGCAACGCCGCGUGAACGAUGAAGGCUUUCGGGUCGUAAAGUUCUGUUGUAAGGGAAGAACAAGUGCCGCAGGCAAUGGCGGCACCUUGACGGUACCUUGCGAGAAAGCCACGGCUAACUACGUGCCAGCCGCCGCGGUAA
rnacentral:rRNA from 1 species